CCUCUCUCAUGCCCAUAUUUGGACAUGGUACAGGUCCUCACUGGACAUGGUCUGUGAGGUCCUGGUCCUCUUUGACUUCAUAAUUCCCAGGGGCCACUAGUAUCUAUAAGAGGAAGAGGGUGCUGGCUCUCCAGCCACAGCCCACAAAAUUCCACCUGCUCACAGGUUGGCUGGCUCGACCCAGGUGGUGCCCCCUGCUCUGAGCCAGCUCCCGGCCAAGCUAGCACCAUGGCCAGAUACCGAUGCUGCCGCAGCAAAAGCAGGAGCAGAUGCCGCCGCCGCAGGCGAAGAUGUCGCAGACGGAGGAGGCGGUGCUGCAGGCGGAGGCGGCGAAGGUGCUGCCGCCGCCGCCGCUCAUACACCUUUAGGUGUAAAAGAUACUAGAUGCACAGAUAGCAAGUCCACCAAAACUCCUGCCUGAGAAUUUUACCAGACUUCAAGAGCAUCUCGCCACAUCUUGAAAAAUGCCACCGUCCGAUGGAAAACAGGAGCCUGCUAAGGAACAAUGCCACCUGUCAAUAAAUGUUGAAAACUCAUCCCACUCCUGCCUCUUGAUCCUUGUGCUCGGGGAGGGGUGCGCGGAUGUGGUAAGGGGGCAUGACUGGUCAAAUGAGAAGGGCUUCAAAAAGAAUCUUCAAUAUUGACUACCCAGCCACCUGUACAGAUCCCUCCCCAGAAAGGCGUAGGGAAGACAUAUGUCCAAGGGCCUCUAUGCACAGACACAAGGUUUCACCAAUGGCAGACAUGAGGGCUGCCUACCCCGAGGGGUCUUGAGCCCCAACCACGGAAAGACUGAGACAAAAGGCUACCUGGUCAGAAGCUGGGUAUGGUGGUUUGAAUGUUUGGCCAGGGAAGUGGCACUAUUAGGUGUGGCCUUGUUGGAGGAAGUGUCCGUGUGAGGAUGGGCUUAGAGAGCAUCCUCGUGGCUGCCUGAGGAUGUCAGUCUUCUGCCUUCGGAACAAGAUGUAGAACUCUCAGCUCCUUCAGUACCAAUCUGGCCUGGAUGAUGCCAUGCGUCCCACCAUAAUGGACUGAACCUUUGCAACAGUAAGCCAGCCCCAAUUGAAUGUUAGUGUUUGCAUUGCUGUGAAAGAGGCACCAUGGGGGCUGGGGAUUUAGCUCAGUGGUAGAGUGCUUGCCUAGCAAGCACAAGGCCCUGGGUUCGGUCCCCAGCUCCAGAAAAAAAAAGAGGCACCAUGACCAAAGACAGAAGUUGGCACCGGGAUUGGUUGCUGUGAUAGGCCCGACCAUGUUUUGUUUGGAGGAGUAUGGACUUAGGGAUGUUGGAUUAUAAAAGCAGCGGAAUGCUUUGUGGGGAGUAGCAGCCAUCCUCGUAGGACUAUGGAAGACAUUGGUGCUGAGGGUGAUUUGAAUAUAUAUACUGAUAUUGUGGUGAAGCAUUGAGAAAGGAAGCCUCAAAAAGCCCAUCAUAGACGUGCAUUUGAUCGAGCAUAGCAAAGAGCGAAGGGGCACCAGGAAGUAAAUAAAGCUGAAUCCUGCAUUCCAGGAGAUACCAAUGAGGAAGUGGCGAUCUCAGAGCACGAUCCCAGCCAGCAGUAACCACCUGGA
rnacentral:lncRNA from 1 species